rnacentral:rRNA from 1 species
AAUGAACGCUGGCGGCCUGCUUUACACAUGCAAGUCGAGCGCCAGUGCGGGGGCAACCCUGGCGGAGAGCGGCGGACGGGUGAGUAGAGCUUCGGAACGUAUCCCGCAGUGGGGGACAUCCCAGCGACAGCCGGCUUAAUACCGCAUACGCUCUCUGGAGGAAAGUGGGCGACGUGCCAGGGCCUCCAGCUCUGGGCGCGGCAGAUGUCCGGGUCGCUGGUUGGUGGGGUCAAGGCCCACCAUGGCGACGAUCGGUAGCCGGUCUGAGAGGAUGAGCAGCCACACGGGUACUGAGACACGGCCCAGGCUCCUACGGGAGACAGCAGUGGGAAAGUUUGGACAAUGGGGGCAACCCUGAUCCAGCAAUGCCGCGUGCGGGAAGAAGGCCUUCGGGUUGUAAACCGCGUUUGUCUGGAAAGAAAAGGCCUCGUCUAAUACAUGAGGUUCUUGACGGUACCGGAAGAAUAAGCACCGGCUAACUACGUGCCAGCAGCCGCGGUAAUAC